CUAUCUCUUGUAUGGUGUCAGCCUACAGGAAUGUUCCCAGAUACUUUAUCAGGUCAGAGCAGGAAACCGUGCAUUCAAAAUCGGACUCUGUACAUAGCAGGCGGGAAGUUCCAUCACACUGCUGGAUGUAGAAGACGGUACAUUUUACUCUUGUGACAAGACGACAGUUUUCUAAAAGGAGAUGCCAACACAGACGCAAGAAAAGCCCAGUGACAAAGAUGACUGAUUAUGUUCCUUAUGUAUUGAUGAAAUGAAGUAUUCUUUAAAACA